rnacentral:snRNA from 1 species
AUACUUAACCUGGCAGGGAGAUACCAUGGUUGUGAAGGUGUUUUUCCCAGGGCAAGGUUUAUCCUUCAGAUGUGCUGACACCUGCAGUUUCCUGAUGGCAGAGUCC